UACGAAGGGUGCAAGCGUUACUCGGAAUUACUGGGCGUAAAGCGUGCGUAGGUGGUUCGUUAAGUCUGAUGUGAAAGCCCUGGGCUCAACCUGGGAAUGGCAUUGGAAACUGGCGACCUAGAGUGCGGUAGAGGGUAGUGGAAUUCCCGGUGUAGCAGUGGAAUGCGUAGAGAUCGGGAGGAACAUCCGUGGCGAAGGCGACUACCUGGACCAGCACUGACACUGAGGCACGAAAGCGUGGGGAGCAAACAGG
rnacentral:rRNA from 1 species